rnacentral:rRNA from 1 species
CUACGCACUCCUACGGGAGGCAGCAGUGGGGAAUAUUGCACAAUGGGCGCAAGCCUGAUGCAGCCAUGCCGCGUGUAUGAAGAAGGCCUUCGGGUUGUAAAGUACUUUCAGCAGUGAGGAAGGUGGGUAUGUUAAUAGCAUAUUCAUUUGACGUUAGCUGCAGAAGAAGCACCGGCUAACUCCGUGCCAGCAGCCGCGGUAAUACGGAGGGUGCGAGCGUUAAUCGGAAUUACUGGGCGUAAAGCGCAUGCAGGUGGUUUGUUAAGUCAGAUGUGAAAGCCCGGGGCUCAACCUCGGAAUUGCAUUUGAAACUGGCAAACUAGAGUACUGUAGAGGGGGAUAGAAUUUCAGGUGUAGCGGUGAAAUGCGUAGAGAUCUGAAGGAAUACCGGUGGCGAAGGCGGCCCCCUGGACAGAUACUGACACUCAGAUGCGAAAGCGUGGGGAGCAAACAGGAUUAGAUACCCUGGUAG